GGGCUACGUAGUGAGGGUCCUCGGGGCCACCUCCCACCCGUGUUGCCCGAACCUAUGUUGCCUCGGCGGGCCCCGCGCCCGCCGACGGCCCCCCUGAACGCUGUCUGAAGUUGCAGUCUGAGACCUAUAACGAAAUUAGUUAAAACUUUCAACAACGGAUCUCUUGGUUCCGGCAUCGAUGAAGAACGCAGCGAAAUGCGAUAACUAAUGUGAAUUGCAGAAUUCAGUGAAUCAUCGAGUCUUUGAACGCACAUUGCGCCCUCUGGUAUUCCGGAGGGCAUGCCUGUCCGAGCGUCAUUGCUGCCCUCAAGCCCGGCUUGUGUGUUGGGCCCCGUCCCCCCCGCCGGGGGGACGGGCCCGAAAGGCAGCGGCGGCACCGCGUCCGGUCCUCGAGCGUAUGGGGCUUCGUCACCCGCUCUAGUAGGCCCGGCCGGCGCCAGCCGACCCCCAACCUUUAAUUAUCUCAGGUUGACCUCGGAUCAGGUAGGGAUACCCGCUGAACUUAAGCAUAUCAAAAGGCGGGAGGAAAC
rnacentral:rRNA from 1 species